rnacentral:rRNA from 1 species
AAUCAACGCUGGCGGCGUGCCUCAGACAUGCAAGUCGAACGCGAAAGCUUCCUUCGGGAAGCAAGUAGAGUGGCGCACGGGUGAGUAACACGUAGGUAAUCUACCUUCGGAUGGGGAAUAACAACCGGAAACGGUUGCUAAUACCGCAUAAUGCAGCGGCACCUAAUGGUGACAGUUGUUAAAGCGGGGGAUCGAAAGACCUCGCGUCUGAAGAGGAGCCUGCGGCGGAUUAGCUAGUUGGUAAGGUAACGGCUUACCAAGGCGACGAUCCGUAGCCGGCCUGAGAGGGCGGUCGGCCACACUGACACUGACAUACGGGUCAGACUCCUACGGGAGGCAGCAGUCGGGAAUUUUGGGCAAUGGGCGAAAGCCUGACCCAGCAACGCCGCGUGAAGGAUGAAAUCCUUCGGGAUGUAAACUUCGCAAGAACGGGAAGAAUAAGUGAGAGCCAACACCUCUCACGAUGACGGUACUGUUUGUAAGCUCCGGCUAACUCCGUGC